rnacentral:lncRNA from 1 species
UCUAUGCUCGCUAUCCCAAGGUUCAUUGCGAUCCCAAGGUUCACUGCGGUUUUCCACAAGCCUGUUUCUGCCUAUCACCAUGAGUGAUUCCUCAAUACUCAGAUUUAUCAUCAAGAUCUCAAUUAUAAGCUCAAGUUUUGAUGACAACUUGGUGAUCUGCAGAAAGCACCACCAUGUAAGGAAGGCCAAGACCACUCUGGAAUCAGUCAAGGCUCAUAGAAACUCCAAUCUUCCCAACUGUGAGAGGGCCUUGCUCCAGUGACUGAUUGCAGUGACCAGACAUGCUACUGUAACUCUCAUGGUCAUGUGCUGGAAUUAGCAGAUGUUCAACAAUUUGGCCAUCUCGCUGACCUGUUGAUAUCAGAAGACCCCAACAGCUCUGCAAAGCAAGUUGCAAAACAGAAUCCAUGAAACUGGCAGUGACUGGAAACCAAUUGGAAGACUUUGGUCUGUGAUGUAGAGGAGUGGGCAGAGGGUGAGGAAAUUCUUAUUAAUAUUACAUGUAGUCAUGAAAAAUUGUGUUACUAUUACUGUCAUUUUUUUUUCAGUAGCAGAAGCAAAGACAACAAAAAGAAGAAGUGAUGUGGAUGUCUUCGUCAUAUUGCAUGACUCUGCUGACCCAGCAACAAAGAGGAGGGUGUUCAACAUCAUCCUGCUAGUCAGGAUUCUUCAGGAGAAGCAGU